rnacentral:rRNA from 1 species
GACGAACGCUGGCGACGUGCUUAACACAUGCAAGUCGAACGGAAAGGCCCUGCUUUUGUGGGGUGCUCGAGUGGCGAACGGGUGAGUAACACGUGAGUAACCUGCCCUUGACUUUGGGAUAACUUCAGGAAACUGGGGCUAAUACCGGAUAGGAGCUCCUGCUGCAUGGUGGGGGUUGGAAAGUUUCGGCGGUUGGGGAUGGACUCGCGGCUUAUCAGCUUGUUGGUGGGGUAGUGGCUUACCAAGGCUUUGACGGGUAGCCGGCCUGAGAGGGUGACCGGCCACAUUGGGACUGAGAUACGGCCCAGACUGCUACGGGAGGCAGCAGUGGGGAAUAUUGCACAAUGGGCGGAAGCCUGAUGCAGCAACGCCGCGUGCGGGAUGACGGCCUUCGGGUUGUAAACCGCUUUCGCCUGUGACGAAGCGUGAGUGACGGUAAUGGGUAAAGAAGCACCGGCUAACUACGUG